rnacentral:rRNA from 1 species
UACGGGGGGGGCAAGCGUUGUUCGGAAUUACUGGGCGUAAAGGGCUCGUAGGCGGCCAACUAAGUCCGACGUGAAAUCCCAAGGCUUAACCUUGGAACUGCGUCGGAUACUGGAUGGCUUGAAUUCGGGAGAGGGAUGCAGAAUUCCAGGUGUAGCGGUGAAAUGCGUAGAUAUCUGGAGGAACACCGGUGGCGAAGGCGGCGUUCUGGACUGCAACUGACACUGAGGAACGAAAGCCAGGGGAGCAAACGGG